GUAAACUACCACAUACCCAAGGAUAUGUGGCUUCCAUUAAAUAGUUUACCAGACUCAGUAUAUAGAAAUAUAUACUACGAUAGUUAAGUCAUGACACCUUUGGUUGACGCAACAGACCAAUGCUCUGUC
rnacentral:sRNA from 26 species